GAAUUCCCAGUAAGUGUGGGUCAUAAGCUUGCGUUGAUUAAGUCCCUGCCCUUUGUUCACACCGCCUGUCGCUACUAUUGAUUGGAUGGUUUAGUGAGGUCCUCGGAUGGGCCCCUCCGGGGUUGGUCACGGCCCUGGCGGAGCGCCGAGAAGUGACUAUAUAGAGGAAGUAAAAGUCGUAACAAGGUUUCUGUAGAUGAACCUGCGGAAGGAACAUUA
rnacentral:ncRNA from 1 species